GGCCAGGUAGCUCAGUCGGGAGAGCGUCCGCCUGAAAAGCGGAAGGUCGCCGGUUCGAUCCCGGCCCUGGCCA
rnacentral:tRNA from 1 species